rnacentral:rRNA from 1 species
UACGAAGGGUGCAAGCGUUAAGCGGAAUUACUGGGCGUAAAGCGUGCGCAGGCGGUUUGUUAAGUCUGCUGUGAAAUCCCCGAGCUCAACUUGGGAAUUGCAGUGGAUACUGGCAGGCUGGAGUAUGGUAGAGGAAGGUGGAAUUCCCGGUGUAGCAGUGAAAUGCGUAGAGAUCGGGAGGAACACCAGUGGCGAAGGCGGCCUUCUGGACCAAUACUGACGCUCAUGCACGAAAGCGUGGGGAGCAAACAGG